AGUAACACGUAGGUAAUCUGCCUUAGGGGUUGGGGAUAGCCCAUGGAAACAUGGGGUAAUACCGAAUAGCUCCCUUUCAGCACAAGCGGGAAGGGGGAAAGGCGCUUAGGCGCCGCCUUAGGGUGAGCCUGCGGUCCAUUAGUUAGUUGGUGGGGUAAGAGCCUACCAAGGCAGCGAUGGAUAGCCGGCCUGAGAGGGUGAACGGCCACACUGGGACUGAGACACGGCCCAGACUCCUACGGGAGGCAGCAGCUAAGAAUCUUCCGCAAUGGGCGAAAGCCUGACGGAGCGAUGCCGCGUGAGUGAAGAAGGCGGGAACGUUGUAAAACUCUUUUCUCGGGGAGGAAUAAGGAGGGGAGGUAAUGCCCCUUUGAUGACGCGAACCGAGGAAUAAGCCCCGGCUAAUUACGUGCCAGCAGCCGCGGUAACACGUAAGGGGCGAGCGUUGUUCGGAAUUAUUGGGCGUAAAGGGCGUGUAGGCGGCGAUGUAAGCCUGGUGUGAAAGACUUCAGCUUAACUGGAGAGCCGCGCUGGGAACUAUGUUGCUUGAGUAUAGGAGGGGGAGCUGGAAUUCCAGGUGUAGGGGUGAAAUCUGUAGAUAUCUGGAAGAACACCGGAGGCGAAGGCGAGCUCCUGGCCAUAUACUGACGCUGAGGCGCGAAAGCGUGGGGAGCGAACAGGAUUAGAUACCCUGGUAGUCCACGCUGUAAACGUUGUGCACUAGGUGUCGGACUUACGGGUUCGGUACCGAAGUUAACGCGAUAAGUGCACCGCCUGGGGAGUAUGCUCGCAAGGGUGAAACUCAAAGGAAUUGACGGGGGCCCGCACAAGCGGUGGAGCAUGUGGUUUAAUUCGAUGAUACGCGAGAAACCUUACCAGGGUUUGACAUAUAGCAGACGGUCGUAGAGAUACGGCUUCCCUUCGGGGCUGUUAUACAGGUGCUGCAUGGCUGUCGUCAGCUCGUGCUGUGAAGUGUUGGGUUAAGUCCCGCAACGAGGGCAACCCGUACUGUCUGUUACCAUCAUUAAGUUGGGGAGUCAGACGGUACUGCCGGUGCCAAACCGGAGGAAGGUGGGGAUGAUGUCAAGUCAUCAUGUCCUUUAUGUCUUGGGGUACACUCGUGUUACAAUGGCC
rnacentral:rRNA from 1 species